rnacentral:sRNA from 1 species
UAAAUCUUGUGACAGAAAUCGAGCCAAC